CAGAUGAGAUUUGGAGCUUACGGUUAGUUUAACUAACUGAGGAACCUCGCCUCACUCUCCAAAUAAGGCAUGGAAAAUCCAUGAUGGCGAAAGCCAUAUUUUAGUAAUAGAAACGGUACCGCCCUUUUGAAUAUAUUGAUGAUUUAGAUAUAAGCUAAUGAAAUCUCGAAUGGGAAUGGUUGAAACGAGCUAAAACCUUUGUGCAAGACCAAAUGAAGGCAAUGAGAUUUGGAGCGAGCCUUAGGUAGGUCGCUUAGUUUGAUGCUCCAUUUAUCCAUUGGUAACAACGGAUAAAACAGAAAGGCGGGUAUAAAUCUUCAGCUG
rnacentral:RNase_P_RNA from 1 species